GAUGAACGCUAGCGGCAGGCCUAAUACAUGCAAGUCGAACGGUAACAUGGUCAGCAAUGACUGAUGACGAGUGGCGCACGGGUGCGUAACGCGUAUGCAAUCUACCUCUUACUGGGGAAGUAGCCCGGACGAAAUACCGGAUUAACACCGCAUAAUAUAUUGUUGAGGCAUCUCAGUGAUAUUAAAUAUUAUAGGUAAGAGAUGAGCAUGCGUCCAAUUAGUUAGUUGGUGAGGUAACGG
rnacentral:rRNA from 1 species